GGUGCUGCGCGCUGCCAAAACUUUUCGUGCUUAUUCAGCCUUCCCCCGGCUCGCCACAUCUGCGCGGCGCUGCCCGAGCUCUGACGGCAGACAGCGUUUCCCACAGCACGGCUUCUUCGCGCUGCUGGUGUUGCGAAGGUUUCCCUGCCCGUCAAAUGAACACACGGGAAGAGUCAAAACGAAACAAAGCGUAACAAACGUUUCACGAGCACCGAUGCAUCCCAUUGGAGAACCAAGCCUUGCCCCACCGCAAGCCUGGGGUGGGCCACAGCACGGCGACUUCCCUCGCACGCCCACCGAGUACCAGCAGUUACACAAUACCCACCUCAGCAGCAAAGUUGCCUUAUAUAAAGCAGUUUCGAGUGCUUAUUUCUAGGUAACUACCAAUAUGAAGCUCGGCGAAGCUAUCGCGCUUGCCUGCAUAAACACAUUGGGGUUGGGUUGUUUGUAUGCCGUACAGGGGAAAAGCUGCUCCUUGUUUCUGCUGCUUCCCACCUUUCCCCCAGGCAAUGCCUCCCCCACCCCCAGCUGAUACCUGCCUUUACUCCCACCAACCAAGUCCAGCACAGCUCGGCACGCUGCUGUUUCACAAACACCACCAGAAGAGCACAAGCACCUUCUGAACGCACGCCUAAUUCCCCUUCAAGCAGUCACAUAUGCUUCGUGCUACCUUUUAUCGUAGGCUGAUCUGUCGCACCACAAAUCCAAACUGAACUGGAAAGCAGCAGUUUGAGCAGUUGUUCGGUUAACGAGCACACAGCAUGGCAGGAAUGGGGAGACCCUGAACAAGAUUUACAAAACUUUCCCUACAGAACCUCAAAUCUGAGCUGGAAGCAUUGGCUGCCAACCAUUAUGUUUGAAUCCAGUACUUCAUAGGACGUCAGGUUACCCUGAGGGCAACCAGGAGGCCAUACUUAUACAGCACUUCUGACCACUGCUAUCGAAGCAAUGAAAACCAAGCAUGUAGUUCAUGCAAAUAAAGCAUACCAGCAAAGCAUCUUCCAAGCAUCUCAGUGACCGAUCCUGGAAAGCUUCAAUUUAGAGCACGUUAACUUCAGGCCCAUAACAACAACAGCAGAAGUCGUGCACCUUAUCAACAGAACUGCCCAGUGCCAGCAGCAGAUGUGACAACUGCAAACACUGCUUUAUGACUUUGAGGAGGAAAAUAAAAAAUGUUAACCUAUAACUAAAGCAGCCUGACCACCUGGCAACUGCAACAGUGAUGAGAAGUCACCUAUCGUUAAACACCCCACACUUGAACUCACAUUUGCGUUCAGCAGGCAGCCAGGAGCUCCUUAUCGCAGCACAAGGGACAAGUUUCUUCCCCCUUCUCCCCAGCUUUCCCCUCCCAGCCACUCAGCCUGGCCUACUCCCUCACAGCAGCUCCAGUGCUCAUCAGCCCCUUCUGUGCACCUCUGGCUCACUGAUCUGGCAGAAGUUUGCUCACCUCCUGAUAAGCCAGAGCGUGGCUCACCCACGGCAUGGGGGAAUGGCUAAGCAGAUCUCCUCUGUUCAGAACCAACCUCCUCAAUUUGCUCACCGUGUUUCAUUUUAAAGCAAACAAACGACAUUCUGCUAUCUCACUAAGAAUGGCUCAGGAGUAAUCUGUUAUCUUCACAGAAGUAAAAGACCCCCCCACAAAACUAUGGUAAGCAGGGGAGAAAAAAAGAAAACCAAACCUAGGUUUACAGUUGGCCCUGUCUCACCAAACUGGAACCUGUGGGCACACACAUCUGUAUUCAGAUGUUGGAAAUCCGCAUUUAAAAAUCAAAUGCUACUCUCUAGUUAUUUCCCAUGCUGAAAUCUAGUGAAACUCAUUGCUAAGAAGCCUAAUCUGUAAGCUUGGUUUCUGAACACAAGCAAUCUAUUUUCUCUUCAAACACAGACACACUAUACAGGAAGUGCAGAGACAUCAUUGGAAGGGCCAGGCUGAAGUUACGCCUUUGCUACUCUUACAGUAUCUGUAGUAAUGCAGAAAAUAAACCAGCAGAUUGCAGCUGCAAGUACACUAAACAGGGAAGCUUUGACAGCAGCGUAAAAGAGAUUCGGUUUGCUGCCACUGAACUUUGCUCUGAGGACAACAAGAGAGCACCUGACUCUCAUUUGACUAUUGUAAUCAUGGAACGGCUAAAAGCCCAUUUGUCCUGCAAUCUUAAAUAUACACAAGACAGUAAGUUUGGAGGACUUGACAGCUCAAGAGAUCAAGACCAGAGCCUUUCAUCUUUAAGUCACCAGUUCCAACAGAGACCAGAAUAGUAGUGAUCAAAAGCUGCAUGUGAUGGCUGUGGAGGGAUUAGAUACAGAGGUGAUUACUUGCUAUCCAGUUCCCAGAUCACUGAAUCACAGCAGCUUUCUUCACAACCUGCACCUGUUUUCCACAGGUCACAAAUACACAGGACUUCUGGAUUUUGUACACGAUAAGCAGCAGCAAAGCAGCAGAAGUGCUGCUUUGACACACUGAGCUUGAACUGUAAAAGAGGACUUUACCCUCCUGUUGUCAGUUGUGUCAGUUACAGCAUGUGCUGAUUUUGUAAAGCAACCAAAGCUGUCUUUCAGUUUUAUUCGAGAUACUUUUAAAAUUAAAAUGUUAAUGUUGUAAUACUUGUUUGUAAGCUGCAGUUCUCAAGCCUGCUGUAUAAGAGAUCUCUGCAAAUACAUCAGUUUAAAAGCACAUAAGCACAGGAAUUUCAGAACUUUAGCAUUUGAGAGAUGACACCAGAAGUUAGCAAUCAGUUUCACUAAACCUGAACAACAUGUCUACAUAAGGACAAAAAAAGCCCUGCAUGAUGAAAAACAUUCCUUAUCAUAUUCUUAUACAUUCUUCAGCAAACCAUCAUGCAGCCUCCAGAGAGUCAGUCAGGGGUAGCUCCUUUCCAACUCGCUUUUAGUAUAAAGAGUUUGCAAAAGUGCCUGGAAAUGCAAAGCAGGACAGGCAAAAUGAAAACAGGUUCAGAGUGUAUGUUGACUGAAGAUUCUGGAGUGCAGGUUCAUUGACCUGGUAUGAAUAACGCUGCUGAAAGCGAUCUUCUGCACUACCCCAGCAAUACAAAGUUCCAUAGCUCUUGGUAGCAUACUGCUUCCUGAGAGUAAUGUUGCUGAUAGCAAGCCAAAGUCCUAGAAACUUCACUAUCCUGAGCAGUAACUAAGGAGGCCCGUGCAUACAAAGAAUGCAGCUUGCUACCCCAGGAGCCUAGGGAGCACAACAUACCAGACUGAUGAGAUUGCAGUAAUCUCGAAGAACUUCCUGAGAUUUCUCUUGUUGUUUUCGAUCCGAGAUGUACCACUGCACAGCAAUAAUCAAACCUGGAAAGAACAGAGAGGUGCAGAUGGUAAAUAUCAGGCCUCCACCAGAGCGGGCUCACUAGUUGUCUGGACAGCCAUACACCCUGCAGUCCAAGUAGCUAUCUCAGAUCACCCACAGCUGAGCUACCAUGAGAACUUAUUGAAGUUUAUCCACGUGUUAUACUCCAACUGCUUCCUUCUGUGUAGGGAACAAACCAAUCAGAAGAAGGAAUUGCAUCUUGCACAGAAGCACAGCUGAGGGCUCCAGCAUGAGAUGCCACAGAUCUCUCUUCAGAGAGUACCUGAGAAAGGAUCCAAAAAAGGACUGGGAGAGAUUUCUCCUUGUCAUCAGGCUAUUUGUACAAGGUUUUGUACGCACCAUCCGAGCCCGGGAAAUAACAAGAGGCUGAAAGGUAAACUUACGUUCUUAGAUCACUCUCUCCAAGGUGUAUUACAAAACACAAAGCCUGUCAUCCGUGUCAACAGCACACGAUUAGGUAAGUUGAUUUUAAUCUGUUAUUAUUUUAAUGAUUCCUUGUUUUGUAAGACAAAAGCUAUUUUAAGAGGCAUCCUCAGCAGCACACACAGGAUAGAGGAAAUCCUUCCCUGCCGAAGACGCUCUCAGGGAAGCAGUAAAAUCAAGGAGUGCUGCCACUGAUGUGUCCCCUUUGAUACUCAGUAUCAUAAGGAACAAAAAACCAACCAGGAACACGCUGUUAUUUUGGCCAGAGCGAAUAUAUGAUGGAUGAGGCCAGAGCCAGGCCUUGUUGGAGGCUGGGCAGUAAUUAAUAGGAAGAACAGGUGUAUGUACUGCAACUGCAGAUAAACAAACCGGGCAGAACUCAGAGCAAAGGCACAGAAGUUAAAGCAGACACGGCAAAGACAGCAAGCAAUGAACUGACUGUUUGCUUCCCCCGAUUACUGAGUUACCACCAACAGCUCAGAGGACGAGCAGCCUUUUGAGAAAAGAAUCGUGUAAGAUGACAUCAGGUCAAAUCGCUCGCUUGGAAGCAGGAGGAGGAAAAGAGCAGCUGCUUUCCUCCCUCCUCCCCUCACCCCCCUUAAAGUUCAUAGGGCAGCUCACAGCACUGCACCCUCGUCGGCAGCGCACGCAGAGCUUGGCACAGCUGAGAGCACAGAGCCUCAGAGGAACCAAACGACCUCUUGACUCGCUGUAGCUCUUAUGCAAUGCCCCCCGUGCAGGACAAGCCCGGACAACCACCCAGGGAACGGGCUUCAGAACGGCACGGCGCACCUCGGGGCAGCUCCCUUAUCCGCACCGGGCCCCGCCGCCCAAGGACACGCGUACGAACACCUCUGCCCCGGGAGGGCUCUGCGCACGCAGCCGGGAGCUGCCCGACGGCCGCGGGAGGGGCGGGGGAGGAGGAAGGAACAACCAAAAAAGGGAGAAAAACAGCCCCGCGCCCGGCGGCUGGGAGCCCGGCGAGGAAACGCCUCAGUGCCUCAGCGCCGCUCCCGCCCGCAGCCACCGCCGGCCCCGCCGCCCCGCUCUCACCUGCCGCUGCCGCCGCCCGGCCCCGCUCGCUCCUCACCAAACUUUUUCUCCCCUUUCUCCGUGUUUCCUUGCCCCGAGAGUGACGCGGGCGGGCGCUGAUUGGAGGAGCCGCCGAAGGAAGGCCUGGAGGAGAGGGGGCGGCGCCGGGCCCGCCGCUAAUUAACGCAAGGAGACGGCGGCGAGGUGAACCAUACAAUGCUGUUUAAAGGGACCGCGGCCCGUCCCGUGCGUUAUGCCCUCGUGAGCGGCCUGGGGCGCCGCGCGGCCGCUUUGGGUUCUGUCGCGACCUACGAUAUACGUGACGCGAUGCCGCUUUCUGUGUGGCACUGUGCCGCCGCGUGUUUGUCCGCACACCGCCCGGGUAUCGCGCCCGCGCUACGGCCUCACAGGGCGUCACUGAGCUGCACCUGCGAGGGGGGGUCGUGGGGUGACACUGAAGGGCGAUGAGCGACUCGGUGGCUGUUAGCAGGCGGGGGGGGGGGGAGGAUGGGAUUCCAGAGGGACGAAACAGAGCAAAUAAAAGAGGAAUGUUAUCUGCGGGCCGGGAGCGGGGGAGCUGUGAGGGAGGUCAGAGCAGCAGGUGAGCCGAGUCCGGGAGGAGAAAGCUCCGGGGAGCGGGGCAAGGCAGGGAGAUGGGCAAAACAUUCCCGUUCCUUAUCGGGACGUUUAACAAUGUUACAGAACUCGGGCUUGUUUUAGAGCUGAGGAAUUUGAGGCGCUGUGGGAGGACACGGGCUGUCAGCAAAGAGAAAGUCCCAGAAGAGACGUGCCAUCAGCAUGGGCUUCUCAGCGCCUGCAGCCCAGCAGGCAGACCCGUAACCCUGGCAGAAGCACUGAAUGGCAAGAAGACCCUUCAUCGUUAUUGCUUUCUUAAUAUCUGAGCUUGGAUCAACACCAGAAAAUGCUUCUGCGAGCGGCGUGGAAAUGCUAACAUGGUUUUAUAGCUAUUUUGGUAGAGAUUAUUCGCACUUGGCCGUCUUUGCUGAUGCAAUACGCCUUCCAAGUGCCAGGUUGCACGAGCAGAAGAUGACCUGCAUUGCAUGUGGGUAUCGCAGCAUUCCCCACAGCAUUACUUGGAGUGCUUUCAUGGCCUUGGCAGUAAUCACAAGGAGCUGUGGGGAGUGAUGAACACAUUCCUCCCAGCCUCUCCGUGGCCGCCUCUUUUAUAUAGUUUUUUUAUAAAGAAAACAUAAAACCCCUUGGGUUCAUCUCAAGCUACUUUAUCUGUGCCAGGUUUUGUCUUGCUGUUAGAGAUACAGAGGCCUACUAGAAGGAUAGAACACGCACUGUCUGUUCAGGGAAGGGCCAGCUGAUGCUUCUGCAGUUGUGGGCAACCAACACAACAGCUGGCAGGGAAAAAAAAGGGGAAAUGCAGGCAGUGAAUGAGAUGGGCACCUCCUGCCAGGAGUUACCGACCAACAACACAUGGUGGAACAAGUGUUAAGUUACGGUGUCAAAUGUCAAGGGGAGGCAGAAGAAUGCUCAGAUGUGAUCUUGCUUGAUUGUGGAUGAAGGUCAUCAAUUUUCUGAUGUGCCAGAAUGAGGAGGCUUAGCCACAGUAAUGGUGGAGCAAGUGGAUUUCAUGAAACACUCAAAAUGGGUAUGUUUGGUGUGGUCAGGAGUCACAACUCAAAAGAGGCAAACACGUGGAAAAUAGGGAACAUAGAGUCGCGUGUCAUCUGCUGAAGGGGCUGUAGUCAAACUGUCUCUGAGGGAGAAAAACAAUGGAAAAGGUGGCUGAGAUAAUUAGGAUGAAGUAAUGGAUGCAGGUUAAAAAGUGAAUGUACAUCUUGAGCAACCGUGGGUAGAAGAUAUAUUGAAGAAAUAGAGUUCAGUUUUCUUGUAUGAAGACCUCAAGACUGAUAGGCCGAAAAAGUAAGCGGUGUUUGGGAAGGGGGAAGUGUCUGAUCAGAGAAGUGAGUAAAGCAGAGAAGGACCUCCUGGACUUGGGAGGGAUCAGAAGUCAACUAAAGAGGAUGAAAGGUUAAACGUGGCCAGCAGAUGAAAACAAAAGACCGUUUUCUAUAGAGCACAGAAAAGAAGUUAAAGGCUAUUUACCCACCUUAAGUUGAUGAAAGCAAUAGCUUUGAUUUUUAAGAACACACAAGUGUUCAGCAGGACACGGGGUCACUAAAAGCAUGUUGAGCUCAAUAAGCAAUGCAAGAUGAGCAUCCCAACAACCUAAUUCUACGAGACAUGAUUUUGCUGCGAAAGAGUAGUCAAAAGGAAGCUCCACACUUUCAAAGUUCCUGUCACCUUGAUGCCUUGGCACACCUUAUAUUCUUAUAUUAUAUAUAUUAUUCUUAAGGGCCAUCUGCCUUUCUAGAAAAUGUUUGCAAAACAUUCUGAAAUAAGUUUCUUCUAAUUUUUACUCCCUUCUUCCCAUUAUGUUUAAUCUAUCCACCAGCAUAUAGGACCUUUCCCUGUGGUUCCUGUUACAUAUCCUUCUGCUAUAGCGGCUUGUUAUUUCUUUUGCUAGAACUUUGGAAAUUACUUGAGGAAUCUUAGUGAUGUAUUCAUUUUGAGGUAAACGUAUCUUCAGAGACAGUGAACAGAAAGUCUCUUCUUCAGUUCAGUGAGCUUUGGAUCAGGUGUUCAGUGUUAACAUCAUUUCAGUUCUUAUAACCUCAUUGUUUGGGGCCCAGCAUGCAGCUCCUGAGACUGCUGAGAGAUUCACCAUGGCGUUGAUGAGAGAGGAAUCAGCCUCUGCUUCCUGAGAGACAGCCUAUAUAAAUCCAAAAUAAAUAACCCCCAAACUCUUGAACAGCUGAGUCUCAAAUGAGAUUUCAUUUCAUUCUGAACCUCGAUGGAUAUCUUUCCAUGGUCACCCUGACCUCUGUUCCACUCCAUACACUAAUGGGAUGAGUUGGAGUUUGUUAUCCAAACCUACUGGAAAUUUGGCCCAGUGGUCCUUUGGCAGUGCCUUUUCAUCAGCAGCAAUGCCACCUCUCUCUUUGAAUGCACACAUUCAGAGAUUUGUAGAAUGAGAGUCCAAAUCCUGCUUGUAUUUGCAAGCCCAGAAUGCCAUUGACUUCAAGGGGGUUGCAGGAGUUUAGCCAAGAGCAGAAAUUGGCCCAAGAUUUUCAGAUUCCCUCAUGCUUCUGUUUGUAUGAUGUUAUCGUCAAGAACUAACAGCAUCCUUUAUGCUGCAUUUCACUUUUCUAUUAAUGGGUAUUUACUGUGCUGAUGUUAUAUAGUUUGCAAGAAAGAUGCACAUAUAGAAAUUAAUAAAAUGAAACCAACACUGAUUACCAUGAGGAUUUCCAUCUUUCAGUGUGCAUUUUCCAAAACACACCAGAGAUUAUUUCUCACCAGAAAAAAAAAAAUGCAGAAAGGAAAAUCCCAUUCCUUGGCACUUCUGUAUGGCAUUCAGGAGUCUUACCUGUGAUUCAGUGGUCAUAAGAAAAAUCAAUCUAAUAAUGUAAAAAAAGUUAAAUGCUGUGCUUUUGUUCUCUGUGCAUUGGAUUCCCAAUCAGAUUCCCUCCCUCUCCCUCGGUAGAGAUUGAGCAUGAAUGGAUCAAACCUGUGAGAGCAGGUAGAUGGGACACCCAGCAAAGCCCAUUGAGUGCCAUGCAGCCAGGGCAGCACUCUGCCAUCAUGGCACCAGAGCCAGCUGCCCACUGGCACUUGGAGCUGCAGAGGGGACCUUGCAGCAAACUGACUGCUGGGCGUCUUACUUGAACGGCGCACAGCGUAGGAUGGAGAUCCUGCUCAGCAUUUUCCAAAAUGAGGCAGAUUGUUUUGCCACACCAUUACAAAUCUGGGAGCCUCCUUCUAGAUAGUCUUGUUUGGAAAUCCAGGCUGGGGCCUUUUAAAGACUUAACAACUCCCUAGUUAAGCUUUUAAUAUCCACGUUAAAUAGAUCAUUGAGCGCGUCCUGGUAUUCAAGAGAGCAGUGGGCCAUUCUUGGCUGACGAGUAACUUUUACACAAAGAAAUUAUUUUGUACCUCUGUGCUUUUUCUCCUCCUGCAUUUGCUUUGUCUGUGCACAGUGCAGCCUUUGAGGGAGAGACUUGUCUAGUCCUUAGCACAGCAAACACCAGCUUCACUGAGAGCCUCUGUGCUCUUCAGUCCUCCCCUCAUCAGCAGCCUCUCAACCCAAGGGCCUCUGCAUAGGCUUGGCUUUCACCCUGCUGUUCUAACAGCAUUUUAUUAUUAAUCACUAUUUAAACUUCAAACCUGGAGCACUAAAUUCUGUAAUGCUAAAUUAUCCAUAUACCAUGCUUGCUAAACCCUAGCACAAACAGCUGACCAGACAUGGGCUAGCAAUUGCUCCAGCUGCCCAGUACUAAGCUGAGAGUAUAAAGAGCUGCUCUAGCACAGCAGCAGUAUUCCUUCAGUCACCAAGAAUCAAAAGCCUCCAUGCACACAAGAAAGCCGCCUGCCUGGCUCAGUUCUGGUUCUCACAAUUCAAGGGGAGCAAAGCUGGUGAUCCCUUCGGAGCAUUAAAAGCCAGCAGAAAUGAGUGCAUCCCUGGGGCUGCGUUGGGCCAGGUUUUGCUUUUGCAAUUUUUGUUUGCCUUCGCUCCACGUAGCAGAGCUCGUAGCUAAUCAUGUGUCACUGGACCUCUGGAUUUAGAGACAAAGAAGCGGCUGGCCUGCUCUGUGCAAAUAGCCUCGGUGCUUGGCCACAGCGGGGCAUCUGGAAAGCAAACAGCACGUUUGACAUGGCUGUCAAGGAUCUAGAUACAAAUGGUACAGGUGACAGAAAUGGCUGUCCAUCCAUCUACCUGCCUGUUCAGGAAUGCCAAGAGCACCAGCCUACGGCAGGUCUGACACUCUUGUUUGUUCUGUUCCUGUCCAUCUGACCUUGCUGUUUCAGACGGGCUAUUUGUCAGUGCCAGAGAAAUCUGCCGCAACAACAGAGGGAAUAUCUGGUGUCAGUAUUUUGCAGCUUCUUGAUGGAAAUGCCUCAUUAGAGCAGCACUUUGAUUGCUCAGAACGAAGCUGUUUGUUUUGCAGAAAUCUCCGAGCUGUUAUUCACCUCUUGUAAAAUUAUAAUGCCUCACGUCCUAUUCUAAAGCAGCCUUGGAUGGCUGGAAUGACUUGAAAUUUGCAACCAAUAAAAAGUUUUACAGCAAAGCAGAGCUGAUCAGUGCUUCCUAAGUGCAAUAAUUAAUCUUUUCUGUCAAAGUGUCAUCGGAUUUUGCUGGAUUUAAGAACAACAAAAUGUUUCAUUGGAGAAAGCAAUAAAACAGGACAUUUCCAUGGCUUCA